rnacentral:rRNA from 1 species
GAGAGGAAAAGAAACCAACAGGGAAUGGCCUAGUAACGGAGUGUGAAAUGGGCACAGUUUAAAUGUGAAAUUUGUCAUUUUUUGAGGGUGCGAGUUGUAAUUCCCAGAUGUAGGUUCCGUGUAGGCGGCGGUCUCAGUUCCUGGGAACAGGGUGUCACAGAGGGUGCGAAUCCCGUGUGAAGCCCCUUGCCUUCGCCGAGUAAAGCCCGUUUGCAGAUUUGAGUUGGUGGGGAAUGUAUUUUUAAAUGGGAGGUAAAUCUGUUAUAAAGAUAACUCAUGUACAGAGAUCGAUAGAGCACAAGCAGAGUGAUAAAAAGAUGAAAAACCAUUUGGAAAGAGAGUCAAACAGCACGUGAAAUUGUUGAAAGGGAAGAGCUGGUCGCCCAGGUUUCCCCUGAAGGUUCUCCUCCUCGGGCAGGCCAGCAUCAUCUGAGCGAUCGGAUAAUGGCCUGGGACAGGGAUUCUCCUUGGGGAUUGCUAUAUAGCGGAGUGGCAGGCAGGUCACCCGGACUGAGGUCCGCGC